UACGAAGGGGGCGAGCGUUGUUCGGAAUUACUGGGCGUAAAGGGCGCGCAGGCGGCCUUAGAAGUCAGAUGUGAAAGCCCCGGGCUCAACCUGGGAAUGGCAUUUGAUACUCUGAGGCUGGAGUACGGGAGAGGAGAGUGGAAUUCCCAGUGUAGAGGUGAAAUUCGUAGAUAUUGGGAAGAACACCGGUGGCGAAGGCGGCUCACUGGCCCGAUACUGACGCUGAGGUGCGAAAGCGUGGGGAGCAAACAGG
rnacentral:rRNA from 1 species